rnacentral:rRNA from 1 species
CCUACGGGAGGCAGCAGUGGGGAAUUUUGGACAAUGGGGGAAACCCUGAUCCAGCAAUGCCGCGUGUGUGAAGAAGGCCUUCGGGUUGUAAAGCACUUUUAUUCGGAGAGAAAUCCCUUGGGCUAAUACCCUGAGGGUCUGACGGUACCGGAUGAAUAAGCGCCGGCUAACUACGUGCCAGCAGCCGCGGUAAUACGUAGGGCGCGAGCGUUAAUCGGAAUUACUGGGCGUAAAGCGUGCGCAGGCGGUUUUGUAAGACAGAUGUGAAAGCCCCGGGCUCAACCUGGGAAUUGCAUUUGUGACUGCAAGGCUAGAGUGUGUCAGAGGGAGGUGGAAUUCCGCGUGUAGCAGUGAAAUGCGUAGAGAUGCGGAGGAACACCGAUGGCGAAGGCAGCCUCCUGGGAUAACACUGACGCUCAUGCACGAAAGCGUGGGGAGCAAACAGGAUUAGAUACCCUGGUAGUCCACGCCCUAAACGAUGUCAACUAGUUGUCGGGAAUUAAAUUUCUGGUAACGCAGCUAACGCGUGAAGUUGACCGCCUGGGGAUACGGCCGCAAGGUUAAAACNCAAAGGAUUGACGG